GACGAACGCUGGCGGCGUGCUUAACACAUGCAAGUCGAACGAUGAAGCCGGAGCUUGCUCUGGUGAAUUAGUGGCGAACGGGUGAGUAACACGUGAGUAACCUGCCCUUGACUCUGGGAUAACUGCGGGAAACUGUAGCUAAUACCGGAUACGACCCUCGGAGGCAUCUCCUGGGGGUGGAAAGAAUUUCGGUCAAGGAUGGACUCGCGGCCUAUCAGCUAGUUGGUGAGGUAAAGGCUCACCAAGGCGACGACGGGUAGCCGGCCUGAGAGGGUGACCGGCCAUACUGGGACUGAGACACGGCCCAGACUCCUACGGGAGGCAGCAGUGGGGAAUAUUGCACAAUGGGCGCAAGCCUGGUGCAGCAACGCCGCGUGAGGGAUGACGGCCUUCGGGUUGUAAACCUCUUUUAGCAGGGAAGAAGCGAGAGUGACGGUACCUGCAGAAAAAGCACCGGCUAACUACGUGCCAGCCGCCGCGGUAA
rnacentral:rRNA from 1 species